UACGUAGGGUGCGAGCGUUGUCCGGAAUUAUUGGGCGUAAAGAGCUCGUAGGCGGUGUGUCACGUCGGCCGUGAAAACCUGGGGCUUAACUCUGGGCGUGCGGUCGAUACGGGCAUCACUAGAGUUCGGCAGGGGAGACUGGAAUUCCUGGUGUAGCGGUGAAAUGCGCAGAUAUCAGGAGGAACACCGGUGGCGAAGGCGGGUCUCUGGUACGUGACUGACGCUGAGACGCGAAAGCGUGGGGGAGCAAACAGG
rnacentral:rRNA from 1 species